UGCUCUCAGAUGAUAGUGCAGCUAUGGUCACUAUUAUUACACGUGACAGGGCCAUAAUCUUUACCAACUAUUAUUUCCCGUUGGCAGGGUCUAAGCCAAGCUACUAUAACCCGCUGGCGAGGGCCGUAUGCCGAGCUACUGUAACCCACUGGCGAGGGCCAUAAUCUUUGCCAACUAUUGUUCCCCAUUGGCAGGGUCUAAACCAAGCUACUAUAACCCGCUGGCGAGGGCCGUAUGCCGAGCUACUGUAACCCGCUGGCGAGGGCCGUAUGCCGAGCUACUGUAACCCGCUGGCGAGGGCCAUAAU
rnacentral:lncRNA from 1 species